rnacentral:rRNA from 1 species
AUUGAACGCUGGCGGCAUGCUUUACACAUGCAAGUCGAACGGUAACAGGUCUUCGGAUGCUGACGAGUGGCGAACGGGUGAGUAAUGUAUCGGAACGUGCCCAGUAGUGGGGGAUAACUACUCGAAAGAGUGGCCAAUACCGCAUGAGAACUGAGGUUGAAAGUGGGGGACCGCAAGGCCUCACGCUACUGGAGCGGCCGAUAUCAGAUUAGGUAGUUGGUGGGGUAAAGGCCUACCAAGCCUGCGAUCUGUAGCUGGUCUGAGAGGACGACCAGCCACACUGGGACUGAGACACGGCCCAGACUCCUACGGGAGGCAGCAGUGGGGAAUUUUGGACAAUGGGCGCAAGCCUGAUCCAGCAAUGCCGCGUGCAGGACGAAGGCCUUCGGGUUGUAAACUGCUUUUGUACAGAACGAAAAAGCCUCUUCUAAUACAGGGGGUGCAUGACGGUACUGUAAGAAUAAGCACCGGCUAACUACGUGCCAGCAGCCGCUGUAA